AUCCCUUUUUGGCAUUCUGGCUUAGAUCAAGUAUAGUAUCUAGUUUUAUGAAGAAUUGAAUUUUAUUUUGAUGUGAAUUGCAUUGAAUCUAUAUACUGCUUCAGGAAGUAUGGACAUUUUUGCAAUAUUAAUUCUGUCCAUCCAAGCACA
rnacentral:sRNA from 1 species